rnacentral:lncRNA from 1 species
UAAAUUUACCGCCUUUUGGUGAUACCAUUUUCCCAGGCAUCUUAGUUUCUGGUGCCGCCCCACAGUUCGGUAAAAACUAUACCGAUUCUUAUUCAAGCCUGCAGACACUCCACAAUCAUUCGAGUGCUGAGCCUACUCAUGCUGAGCGAGUGGCUUUCCUUUUAGUUUGGCUUUGUAAAUACGUGUUGUGCAUACCUAGUAUAAAGCCCUCUCUGAGUUAUCUACCUAUAGCGCAUGAACUGGCGCGUGG